AUAUUGCACCAUACAGCAUCAUCUGCAUUUCCAGAGCAAAAUGGUCAUAGGGUAUAUUCUGAAGGGUAGUGCUAUAUAAGAAACAGAUAUAAUGUUAAAGCAUGUAAAUGAAGUUUAAUGAGGAGUUAAUUUCUCAAAUGGCUUUUCAUGUGCUCAAGGAUUUAAAUAGCUCAAGUAUCCAACAUUCCAGUGCUAGCCUGAACUAGCCAAGAGAACAAAUUACUACUAAGCUCAAUCCAGCCUCAUUCUACAAUAUAGUGAUAUAGUCUAAGGAUGAGUUCAUCAUAAUUGAUAAUACAUUGGAAGAGCUCCUUCAAGCCAAGGUCAUGCCAGCAUGACAUCAACAUAAACCAACCGUAAACUUAAUUUAAUGAGAAGUCAUAUUAGAAUUGAGUAACAAACACCUUAAUAAUGAAUACAAUAAUUUCAACAUUGAAUUAAUGUUGAUGUUUGUAUCAAUAAGCAACACACCCUGAAGG
rnacentral:misc_RNA from 1 species